GAUGAACGCUGGCGGCGUGCCUAAUACAUGCAAGUCGAGCGAACAGACGAGGAGCUUGCUCCUCUGACGUUAGCGGCGGACGGGUGAGUAACACGUGGAUAACCUACCUAUAAGACUGGGAUAACUUCGGGAAACCGGAGCUAAUACCGGAUAAUAUAUUGAACCGCAUGGUUCAAUAGUGAAAGACGGUUUUGCUGUCACUUAUAGAUGGAUCCGCGCCGCAUUAGCUAGUUGGUAAGGUAACGGCUUACCAAGGCAACGAUGCGUAGCCGACCUGAGAGGGUGAUGGGCCACACGGGAACGGAGACCAGGACCAGACUCCGACGGGAGGCAGCAGUAGGGAAUCGUCCGCAAUGGGCGAAAGAUUGACGGAGCAACGCCGCGUGAGUGAUGAAGGUCUUCGGAUCGUAAAACUCUGUUAUUAGGGAAGAACAAAUGUGUAAGUAACUAUGCACGUCGUGACGGUACCUAAACAGAAAGCCACGGCUAACUACGGG
rnacentral:rRNA from 1 species